rnacentral:rRNA from 1 species
GUGGACGCCAGUCUGCGUGGAGCCGACCUUGAAAUACCACCCUUUAAUGUUUGAUGUUCUAACGUGGACCCGUGAUCCGGGUUGCGGACAGUGUCUGGUGGGUAGUUUGACUGGGGCGGUCUCCUCCUAAAGAGUAACGGAGGAGCACGAAGGUUGGCUAAUCCUGGUCGGACAUCAGGAGGUUAGUGCAAUGGCAUAAGCCAGCUUGACUGCGAGCGUGACGGCGCGAGCAGGUGCGAAAGCAGGUCAUAGUGAUCCGGUGGUUCUGAAUGGAAGGGCCAUCGCUCAACGGAUAAAAGGUACUCCGGGGAUAACAGGCUGAUACCGCCCAAGAGUUCAUAUCGACGGCGGUGUUUGGCACCUCGAUGUCGGCUCAUCACAUCCUGGGGCUGAAGUAGGUCCCAAGGGUAUGGCUGUUCGCCAUUUAAAGUGGUACGCGAGCUGGGUUUAGAACGUCGUGAGACAGUUCGGUCCCUAUCUGCCGUGGGCGCUGGAGAACUGAGGGGGGCUGCUCCUAGUACGAGAGGACCGGAGUGGACGCAUCACUGGUGUUCGGGUUGUCAUGCCAAUGGCACUGCCCGGUAGCUAAAUGCGGAAGAGAUAAGUGCUGAAAGCAUCUAAGCACGAAACUUGCCCCGAGAUGAGUUCUCCCUGAGACUUAGAGUCUCCUGAAGGAACGUUGAAGA